GUUCCCGCAGGAUGACUCCAGCUGGUCUCUUUGGUCUUCCCAUUUGUCUCCAAUAGAAGUCCGAGGAAGCUAAGCCAUGUGUGGUAAGAAAUGCCUGUAGUUCCAGCCCUUGGGAGUUCGAGACCAGCCUGGGCUAUAGCGACCCUGCCCCUAAACAGGCAGAGAGAAGCCGAAUAGCAGUUCCUUUUGUAGACCCCGGGAAAGGCCCUUUACAGAUAGGGGAAAAGGGCAGAGAGGGCGGUCCAGGCCUAGCUCUGAGAUCACAGGUAGACAGUUAGCUUUUGUAGGAAUCACCAGUUGUGGGCUUUGAAUGGUGCAAAACGUGCCUGCUGCUGCCUGCCAGCUUCUUGCACACAAGGGUGGAAGAAAAGAGGUCUUCCUGGGACCCACUGUGGGCAGGAAGGUCAGUGUUGAGUUCACUGAGGGUGUAGAGGGUAUGUCUCAGACUCUGAUCGCUCUCCAGGGCUGUCUGCCUGGAGAGAGAGUCAACAUUUUUAUCUGGUCUGCAUUGGAUCUGCAUGUUCCCCUGGCAAACACAAACAUGAAUUCUGAAGUUCAGGCUGACGGCCAGCUUCCAAGACUUGGCUGUCCAUUCUGACCACUGAGGAGGGACUCUGGAGGAGCUACCACACAGGAGGUGCCCCCUAACCAGGAGGGGACAACCUUCCAAAUAGAUGCUUUUCUAGGCCCACUCUCACCCAGCCAGAAACACGAGAGUCACAGAUGAGUGUAAUGCUUCUAUUUGGUCAGCUAGCACCCGUAGCAUCUGCACAGGGUAUCACGCUGCAUGACAACUCAGCAGCCCUGCAGAAGCACGUGGAGCUGACAUGUCUUCUAGUCUCCCAGCUCCACCACCCUUCCUUUUGGUGGUCCUGCAGUGCCUGCCUGCACACAGUUGGCAGUCAGGUUGGGGAGCAUUACACAGCCGGAGACAGAAGACACCACAAGGCAAACUGAAACCAGUGGUCACUGAGCGGCAGGUAUGGGAACUGCCUAGCUUUUUAGUCCAGGAGUCAGAGCCAGAUGCGGCCAAACUAGUAAAAAUAAUCUUACUGACAGAAUUCAAGUAUAAUUUUUUUUCUGUUGAUGAACAAUACCUAACUUCAUCUGAGAAGCCCCUAUAUUGAACUGAAAACAGCAAACCUGGUAUCUGGCCUAACCUCUCUCUUACCAACCUCGGGCCUGAUCUUUGCCUAGCGGUCUUCCCUCUGGGAGCACCUGCUCUGUCUGGAAUAGAGAGCCGAGGGUGUGAGCUGCUGCGUGCCUAGGGCUCUGCACACCCUUCUUAUUACUUGUAUACAGGACAGUCAGCUGAUAAAGUGACCAAAGUUCUUGCUGCGUUUUACUUACUCGAUGGUCAGAAGGAGGCAGUGCACGGAAGAGGCCCCAGGCAGGAUCAAUGCUCUGGGUUUUGAAGGUCAUUUGCAAGUGUCCUGUGCUGGGGUUCUUGGCUUCUCAUCACAGUCCCUUGCUGCAGAAUGUGUGUGCCAAAGCCAUCGCCAUCCCCUGGGCAUGCCGGGCAGAGAUUGCACUGACUGAGAUCAUGGUGGCUCUUCACCACGGGCACCUCUGAAGUUUAGGUUCUUUCUAUACUUACACAAUCUACCCUCUCACAACGCUGCUAGUAAUUUGAACACUCUUGAGAGGGGGCCAAGUGUUAGGCCUGUAGACCCUUCUCCUGCAGUAACAAUGCCCACGCAAAGGCCUACACAGGUGCUUUAGCAAACAUGCUGUGUUCUGCUGGAAAUAGCCUUGUUAGCUUUCUGGUUCACGGUGACCCUAAGCGAUACCCACACUAAGUACUCAGUAACAUCAGCUUCACAAAUGACUCCUGUGAUCAGAUGUCCAGCCCAGUGUGGAGCAUGAGGCCAGGCCAGCCAAAGCAAGACAACAAGGUAUAAAUAUACUGCCUUGAGGGCCUGGGGCAGCUUCUGUGGGGUACUGGCUAUCCCCCUCUUGUCCUCACUUCCCAACAAAGGUGCUGAUUUAGGCUCUCCCUCAAAACUCAUACCUGAACUCCCUGUGUAUGUUGUAGACUGGACACCCCUGCCCAACUAACGUGUAUUCUAACCACAAACCCCAACAGAAGCCUAGUCUCAGGAAGGUUUGAGUAGCCCUUGUUGGAGCUGGGGUGCUAGGCAACUUUCCAGGUGCCCCCAACAAUUUGGAGUAUAGAUUCCAUCAUAGCUUUGCUGGGCACAGCUGUAUCUCUGCCCACUGGGCUUCACUGUGAGGGUCGUAUGUGUCUGCAGAUUCCCCCCCACCCCCCAAUGCUUGUAGUAAGUGUGAGCUUCCAGAUUCAUACAAGACCACUUGGCUUCAGCCCAGAUCUCCCCAGCCUCCCAGGCAUGGGGCGAGGUUUCCUUUCAGAAUACCAAGUAGGGAAGCUAUGUCUGGAGCGUGGAGACCCAGCCUGCCUUUCUCCCUGAGCCAUUAGGAAAAGAGGAGACUGGGAACAGAAUAAGCGCAUCCUUCCGCUUGGAACUGUGACAGAUGUCUCCUGUUGAGCAGCCUGUAUGAGUGAGUUUACCCUCACUUAGCUGGAGUUCACCUUCCGUGCAGCCUGCUCAUUUUUAACUUCUGCAAGUUGUCCUCACCUGUAUCCUCAGAAGUGCACCACCAAGCCUCCACUGUUUUUUGGGGGGUUUUUGUUGUUGUUGUUGUUGUUUGGUUUUGUUUUUUCGAGACAGAGUUUCUCUGUGUAGCCCCGGCUGUCUUGGAACUCACUUUGUAGACCAGGCUGGCCUCGAGCUCAGAAAUCCACCUGCCUCUGCCUCCUGAGUGCUGGGAUUAAAGGUGUGUGCCACCAUGCCCGGCUCUCUCUUUCUCUCUCUCUUUCUCUUUUUUAACAUUUUAUUUAAAUUCCUUCUAGAUUUAUUCAUUUUAUUAUGUGUGUGAAUGCUUUGACUGCAUGUAUGUCUGUGUACCAUGUGGGUGGUAGAGAUAAAACACAACUCCUCUGAAGAGCUGCAUGGGCUCUUAGCCACUGAACCAUCGCGUCUCCAAAACUCCCAGGUUUCACCUCUUUAUACUCCCUACAAAGAAGCCCAAAGUAGCAGACACCUCAGGAGUGAAUAGAGAGGCAAGGCUUAGAACCUAGGGGCUCAGAAUUGACAUUUCCUGUGUGGCCAUGUGAACUGCAAAUGAUGAUGGAAAGAGUAGGCACACUUGUAUUCUCCACCCAGUCUCAUGGUGCCAGUCCUUGUCAGGCAAGCGGUAGACACAGGCUCCAUCUCCAGGAUCAAGAAGGGUGCUAGAUAUGUGUGCCUGUGUCCAGAGACCUGACUCUGGUUGGAUACAGAACGAGAGGUGUGGAGAGUCCUCAGCUCUCAUGGUGACCCCAUUUUUCCUGGCCACUUGACUCCAUUCUUCUCCGUGGACUGCUCUAACUUCUAGAAGUUUCUGCUCAUAACAGCUUUCCUGGCCUCCCAAUAGCGAAUCCAUUCAGUUUGGUAAGAGAUAAUAGCUGGCAAUUAGCCAGUUCUUUUUUUCGAAUCAGAUCAAAGGUUAUAGAUCACUGGCUAGCCCCAAACUGUCACUUUGAAAACAGUUAGGCAGGAACUGGGUCAUUCACACAAGUUGUGGCUUCUCCUGAUGUAGCCCCUGGGGCUCUUGGGGUCACUGAUUUGUUUGUUCUUGGGGAGAAGGCCAUCGGGUCAGCUCAUACUAGCUUGCUUCCCGAUGAGCAUCAUCAGUCAAGGAUCCCCCUUGCAGCUCUCUAUCACUGCAGAACCACAGAAAUGCUGAUGCACAUUGCCCAAGGUGGCACAAUCCUGUCAUCACUGGUGGGGUGGGUGAAGAUGGAGAAGCCAACUCACAAGUGAAUAGAAACUGACAAAUUAUCAAAAGACGUAGGGGUCUUAUGACAGUAUCGUGCAACACAGGGCUUGACCUGGCUGCAGUUUGCAGCUUCUGGUAGUUUGUAGGGUGGGUGAUUAUAUUAGUCAGCGUUCUCUAAAGGGACAGAACUAAUAGAAAACACACACACACACACACACACACACACACACACACUAUUAGGAUGGCUUAUAGUAGUUCAGCAAUGGCUAUCUAUCAAUGGAAUGUCCAGUAGUUGUUCAGUCUCCAUAAAGCUGGAUGUCUCUGCUGGUCUUCAGUAUGCAGUGGAAUCCCAAAAGAGUAAGCUCCAAUGCCAGUGAAGGAAUGGACUUGCCAGCCAGAAUGAGAGCAAGCAGGCCUCCUUCUUCCAUGUCCUUUAUAGAGGCUGCCAGCAGAAAGUGUGGCUCAGAUCAAAGGUGUAUCUUCCAACCUCAAAAGAUUUGAAUAAAAAGUGAGUCUUCCCACUUGAAAUGACUUAAUUAAGAAAGAAUCUCUCGCUGGUGUGCACAGUCACGUGGGUUUUAGGUCAUUCCAGAUGUAGUCGAGUUGACAACCAAGAAUAGCCACCACAAUGACCACUGGUUGACCCUUAGGUCUGGUGGUGAACUGUCCCUGUGGAGGACUCCCAGUGGAACAUGAGGGUUACUGCAUGAGCGGCCAGCAGUGCGCAUGCACACACAGGUGUCUGUCUGUGUGUUGGGGCAGGCUAGCAUGCAUCCAAAUGCUGAAGGUAAUCCCAGGGAGUUCUGGGCUUACUGCACUCAGGCGAGCCACAGGUACCGGUAAGAGCUGUGGAGAGCAGCACUUUGGGUUCUCAGAAGUUCUGCUUUCUGCUUUCAUCUCUGCCGGUCCUGAUAACCAGUGGCAGAGAUAUGGGAAUCUUUAGAGGUUGAAUCUCAGUGCUGUUCUAACACUGCUCUAAUAAAGCCCGGACUCAGGCUUUCUCCUAAUUCUGACUCUUGACCUGAUGUAGUUUCUGUUGAAUAUCACUCAGAUACAGCAGUGUGUGUGUGUGUGUGUGUGUGUGUGUUGGGGGGGGGGGGUCCAUAUUGCAGCAACUCUGGCCCACAAUGGCCUCUCUAGAGCUAGCAGUGUAGCUUUGGGUUCCUCUUAGCCCACCACUUGUCCCCCUACAUCCUCUCUUCUCCUGACCCCUAGGCCUUCCUAUCAGGUACAAAGCCCUGCCCCUCAGUAAACCCCUCUCAUAGCCCUGGCAGUUGACCAGAGCUCCUAACACCAUUGCAGCUGCCACAGCAGACAGACAGUUGGGGAGUGGGGGAAAUACCUGCCUGGUCUGAAGGAAAUCUCAGUAGUCUCCAGGUACUCCCUCCCUUCUCAGUCCCUGUCCCUGUUCCUGAUUCAAGGCUAGGAGAGUCAUGCCUGCCUGACUCUGGCCUGAGGCCUUGCACUUUUCUCAUGGGCAGGGAGGCAGAUGAGAGGCCCACCCGGUACCCCACUGUGUCUGGCACCAGUGUCUGACUGACACUGACUUGUGAGCUCCAACACCCCCGUUAUCCCUACAUCUCAAGCCUGUGGGGCACCCACUGGGCAGUGAUUCACCAGCCCAGUGUCUCAGAGUUUCCCAAGGUGAGUACCCAGUUAGCUGGCAGCCAUGGGAACAUUCCCAGCACCUCCUCCAUGAGGCCUACCCACCCCAACAGGCUUGGUUCCCAGUGGAGUCACCCAUGAAAGGAUGGGUGCUGGCAGCCUCUGAUGUCAGCGCACCCCCUCCAGGCAAGAUAUCACACCCAGCUCAGCUGGCAGAGCUCUGGCUCUGUCCAACCUUGAGCAUCCUCACUGGAGGCCGCCAAAGAAAGGGUGUUGUAGUGCUAAGGGAGUUAGGGGUGAAAUCAGGGUAAGAUUUUGAUCCUCUCUAAGGAGGUUCAAAAGACCUGACUGGGAAGACAGAGUGGACGUGUGAGGUUGGAGAGGGGGCCACACACAGGUGCCAGUGAAGGCACAACUGCCACGAUUAUUAGAAAUAAUUGCUGGGGCUAGCUAGACAAGGUGGCACAAACCUGUAAUCCCAACAUUCAGAAGGUGGGGGCAUAAGGACCAGACAAUCAAGGUCACAGUGAAGUCUUUGAGGAAAGAGUGGAGUAUAUCAGAUCCUGUCUCAAAAACAAACAAAAAAUGCUGGGGACAUGGUUUAAUUAGUAAUUGCUUGCUGGACAAGGACCUGAAUUUUAAUCCUAGAACCCAGGUUUAAAACAAAACAAAAAGAUAGGCAUGCCAGGUGUAGUGGCACAAGCCUUUAUCCCAGCACUCAGUAAGCAGAGGCUGGCCUGGUAUACAUGGAGAGUUCUAGACCAACCAGGCAUACUUAGUGAUCCUGUUGAAAACAACAGCAACAACAAGCAACAGAAACAAAUAGUUAUGGUAGCCUGCACUGACUCUUCUAAGACGAUGUGAACACGUGGAUCUCUGGGGCACAAUUAUCAGUCAGUCCAUGACAUGACUGUCUUCUGAAUUAAGUGGCUGCCAUCUUGAGUUCAGCUGUACCUCAUUGCAACAGGACGACGUGCCAUCUGGGAUUGGUGGCUGUUUACAUCCUCUCACAGUCUGUUAGGUUAAUGAGACCCUCACUUGAGUAGUGGCUUCCUAACACCUAUUGUAUGCAUACAACUCUACCUUGAUUGCACUCGGCCUAGGGGCGGGUCAAGAGCCAUGGUUCUCAACCCACCUAAUGCUGCAAACCUUUCCUCGUGUUGAGGUGACCCCCCCAACCAUAAAAUUGUUUUGUUGCUACUUCCUAACUGUAAUUUUGCUACUGUUAUGAACCGUAUAUAAAUAUCUGUUUGCUGACGGUCUCAGGUGAAUUCUGAGUAAGGGUCGUAUGAUCCCCCACCACCACCACAAGGAGUUGUAACACACAAGUUGAGAACCAUUAGACUAUGGGGACUGGAGGAAGAGACUCCAUCUAUGGAGAUGUGAAAAAGCCCUCAUCUGUGCUGAGUAAAAGUUUCCCAGGUUGACUCUUCAGACAACGGCAAAAAGCAGCCACAUUCUUCACCAAAAUAUUACAAGAACAGUCUCUAGGCCACAUACUAAAAUUCUGCCCCUCUGAAACAUCCUGACCAGCAGGUCUACAGUAGUUAAAAUCACCCUCCACACAGCCAUAUUCCGCAUUCUGACUAGGGUGGUCCCUUAAGCUCCACCUAAACCAUUCCAUUGUUUCCCAAAUUCAAAGUCUCAAAACCCACCUUCCUCUAAACAAAACCACAGUGAGGCCUAUCCCAGCAAUACCCCAGUUCCUGGUACCAACUUCUGUCUUAGGUUUCCAUUGCUGUGAAGAGACACCAUGACCAAAGCAACUCUUAUAAUGGGUAAUAUUUAAUUGGGGCAAACAUACAGAUUUAGAGGUUCAUCCCAUUAUCAUAAAGGCAAUAUCCAGGCAGAGAUGGUGCUGGAGAAGGAACUGAAAGUUCUACAUCUUGUUCCGAAGACAAACAGACGAAGACUGACUUACAGACAGAGAGGAUUAGGAUCUCAAAGCCCACCUCCACAGUGAUACACUUGCUCCAACAAGGCCAUGCCUCCUAGUAAUGCCACUUCCUGGGCCAAACAUAUACAAACCACCACAGUGAGUUUUGGCAAAAUCAUGCCUGGCUUUGUCAUUAGGAUUUAGGAGAUGGGGUAGAUAUUGCUUAAGUAUCCCCUGGGAAGGAAAUUUAGCAACAUUAACCUAGCCUACUCAUUAUGUUCAGGGCAAUGGGAGCUGGAGGUGUUAGAGCUGGAGAAAUCGCUUACCUGUGACUAGCAGUUGCUGCUCAUGCCUAGGGCCCAGGUUUCAUUCCCAGUAUCCACAUGGUGUCUCACAGCCAUCAAUAACUCACUGCAGUUCUAGGGGGUCUGACACCCUCUUGGCUUCCUUGGGCACCAGACACACAGAGUGCACAUGCAGUUAAAAUACUCACAAAACAAAAAACAAGGUAAAUGAUAUCUGAGGAAUGAUUCCCAAGGUUGACCUCUGACCUCCACACACAGGUGCAUACAUAUUAUGUAUGCAUACUACCACACAGGUGCACCUACACACACACACACACACACACACACACACACACACACACACACACACACACGUGCACACACAUAUGCACAAGAGAAGGACUAAUUGCUAAGGAAGGAGUGGGUACCAGAGAUAGUGGACACAAGACCAGUUCUUCUCCAGGUAAGCAUCAGUUCCAGGACUAUAACCAGUCAAUUGAGAGCAAACCGAAGAAACCAGAAAAAAAGAAAGAAGUCAGUAGGAAGGGCAGAGCAAGAAUCAACAAAACUGAAAACCAAUCCUGGAAGAACGCCAGCAGGCAGGCUCCCUGCAGGAAGGAGGCCAGGAAAACAUGUUAGUGAACCACACACGGUCAGAGAAGAACAGAGUCAGGAACAUCAAUGGCGUGAUAAGGAAGAAAGUCCAAAGAAAAUAUUCCUCAAAACAAAAGUAAACCUCAAAACAAAACAGAAAAGACUGAAUAGUGGCUUUGGGAGCCUCCCUUUCUACAGCUCAGAAUGGGCUGUUCUACCCAGCCUCCUGGGACCAGCGAACCCUUGCUUUGAACAAGAUGUUCUGGAGGUGAGAAAGAGGUGACAGCUCAUUUUACAAGGUCAGGACUGUGCCAACCCAGACCAGAGAGGACAAAGGACAGUUAAGAGCCUGUUUCACUAGGAGCUUAAGUGCAGAUUUAAAAAAAAGGGCGGGGGGGGGGGGUUCUGCCAACAUGGCUCCAGUAAAUCAGGCCUGACAACCUGAGUUCAAACCCUGGGCCCCACAUGCUGAAAGAAGAGAGUGUACUGUAAAUUGUGCAUGCCACAUGCAUGCCAUGGCACAGGCACUCCCCCCAAAUUAUAUAAAUGAAACAAAUACAGAUUUAAAAAUAAAAUACAGUGUCCAGAGCCGGAUCUAAUUGUACAUUAGAUAUGGACUUCAUGGUCUAGAUUUCUCUGGAUAAGUAUCAGGGAACAGACAAUUUCUGUCAUUAACGGACACAUCGUUUGAUAGAUCAGGUAGACUUGUGUUUCCUUUGUUUAUUAUUAAAGAGCUCAGUGCACAGAAGUGAGAGCAUUCCCAUGUCUACUGCAGUCACCGUGUACAAUAUAAACUAAUGCAUAAUCAUAGAUACAGUGUUGUAUA